UACGAAGGGGGCGAGCGUUGUUCGGAAUUACUGGGCGUAAAGGGCGCGCAGGCGGCUCUGAAAGUCAGAUGUGAAAGCCCCGGGCUUAACCUGGGAAUUGCAUUUGAUACUCUGGAGCUUGAGUACGGGAGAGGAGAGUGGAAUUCCCAGUGUAGAGGUGAAAUUCGUAGAUAUCAGGAGGAACACCUGUGGCGAAAGCGGCUCACUGGACCAUAACUGACGCUGAUGCACGAAAGCUAGGGGAGCAAACAGG
rnacentral:rRNA from 1 species